AUCCUCAUCUUCCUCAUCCUCAUCUUCAUCAUCAGCUUCAUCCUCAGCUUCAUUCUCAGCUUCAUCAUCCUCCUCGUCCUCAUCUUCAGCUUCAUCCUCCUUCUCAUCCUCCUCAUCUUCAUCCUCAUCUUCAUCCUCAUCUUCAUCCUCAUCUUCCUCAUCCUCAUCCUCUUCUUCCUCCUCGUCUUCAUCUUCAGCUUCGUCAUCAUCUUCAUCCUCAUCUUCCUCAUCUUCAUCAUCAGCUUCCUCCUCGUCUUCAUCCUCAUCCUCCUCGUCUUCAUCAUCAUCUUCAUCCUUAUCCUCAUCUUCAUCUUGAUCUUCAUCUUCAUCCUCAUCUUCAUCAUCUUCAUCCUCAUCUUCAUCAUCUUCAUCCUCCUCCUCCUCGUCUUCAUCCUCAUCUUCAUCCUUUUCCUCAUCUUCUUCCUCCUCAUCCCAAGAUUUGGAUCCCAAACCCCUCCCAGUCCCAGGAUUUGGAUCCCAAACCCCUCCUGGUCCCAGGAUUUGGAUCCCAAUCCCAGAAUUUGGAUCCCAAACCCCUCCCGAUCGCAGGAUUUGGAUCCCAAUCCCAGAAUUUGGAUCCCAAACCCCUCCCGGUCCCAGAAUUUGGAUCCCAAACCCCUCCCAAUCCCAGAAUUUGGAUCCCAAACCCCUCCCAAUCCCAGAAUUUGGAUCCCAAACCCCUCUCAAUCCCAGAAUUUGGAUCCCAAACCCCUCUCAAUCCCAGAAUUUGGAUCCCAAACCCCUCCCAAUCCCAGAAUUUGGAUCCCAAACCCCUCUCAAUCCCAGGAUUUGGAUCCCAAUCCCAGAAUUUGGAUCCCAAACCCCUCCCAAUCCCAGGAUUUGGAUCCCAAACCCCUCCCAGUCCCAGGAUUUGGAUCCCAAUCCCAGAAUUUGGAUCCCAAACCCCUCCCGAUCCCAGAAUUUGGAUCCCAAACCCCUCCCAGUCCCAGGAUUUGGAUCCCAAACCCCUCCCAGUCCCAGGAUUUGGAUCCCAAUCCCAGGAUUUGGAUCCCAAACCCCUCCCAAUCCCAGGAUUUGGAUCCCAAUCCCAGGAUUUGGAUCCCAAAUCCCCAUUAUCCCGUUCCAGGCCCCCCUGAGCGAGCUCCUGCGGGAAUUGGAGCGGAUCCAGCGGGAGCAGCGCGAGGCCAACGCCUGCACCGAGCGCCAGGAGUGGUGGGAGCGCCGAUCCCGCCUGGACCUGCGCAUGCAGAGCCUGAUCCAGAGCCUGGACUCGGAGGUUUUGGGGUGCUGGCGGGGGCUGCUGCUGCCGCGGGAUCCCGGGAAUUCCGUCCUGGACGAGCCGGAAUUGGCGCAGCUGCUCCGGGAGCUCCGGGAAUGCGGCUGGGAGCGGCCCGAGCCCGCCCUGCUCCGGGCCCUGCUGGCAGGGCUGUGUCCGGCCGAUGUCCGGCCGCUGGCCGCAGCGCUGUGUCCGGCCCGGCCGCUCCGGGCGCGGCUGCUGCUGGACGAGGCCCUGGAGCGGCGCCGGGAGGAGCCCGAGGCCGGCGCGGGGUCCCUGGUGCUGCUGCUGGACAGGCACCUGCAGCGGCUGCCCUGGGAGAGCUCCGGGACGCUCCGGAACCUUCCGGUGACGCGGCUGCCGGGGCUGCGCUUCCUGCUGCGCUACGGCCUGGGAGAGCAGGUGCCGGGGUCGGUGCUGAGCCGGGGCCUGGACCCCCAAAGCGCUUUCUACGUGCUGAACCCCCAGCGCGACCUGGGCGGCACCGAGGAGCGAUUCCGCGCCUGGUUCCAGAGGUGGGACCCCGAAAUCUGACCUGGGACCCCAAAAACUGACCCCAAAAAUGGCCUGGGACCCCAAAAAUGGUCUGGGACCCCAAAAACCAACCCAAAACCGCCCGGGACCCCAAAAACUGACCCGGGAAC
rnacentral:lncRNA from 1 species